AUUUCAGUAUAAUGUCAGUUUAAAAUUUUAUUUGAGCAUGACAAUUAAUGUGCUGCAGGACCUGUAAAUAAGAUUUUGAACAGAAGAAUUGCAGAUUGCUGCUUAAGCCAAGAAUAUGGUAAAAAACUAGUUUUGUUUUGAGUUUUAGAAGGCAUUUGCAAAUCAGAUUUUGGGAAGAUCCUUGCACUGUAUGUUUUUGUUGUCUUGAAGGCCCAAGAACUCACCUAGACAUUAACCUGUGAAUUGGCAUAGUUCUAACUCCUGGAUCAAUUAAGGUAUGGUAUCCUAAAUUUUACAUUGCCUCUAUAUACCAGUGUGUAACUGCUUAAUAGGCCCUUUCCAGCUGCUAACAGUAAUACAGUUCUCUGAUUCUUAUUAAAAGCAGAACCUCCUGGAUUAUGCUUGAAUUUGAAACCAGCCCAUCUUCAUCUAGGAAUAGUCAAGUAAAUGUUGACUUCAGCUGACUGCUAGGAAUUGUAAUCAGACUGAGAUGCUACAAGGUGUGUCUCUAGACUUGCCCAUGACUAAACCAGGAGUUUUCUAAAGCUCCCCAGCAUCUAACUUCGUUAGUGAGACUAUUGUAAAAAAAGUUCAAAUGAAAUUCAGAGGUGUAUGGUAACAACUGAUGGUAUGUUAGAUUUCCAAUUGCUAAACUUGUCUUUCAGGGACAGCUACGGUGUGUGCAUCUGUCCUAAGUUUUAUUGUAUCUAAGCACCACGGUGCUCCUUUACUUUUGGUUAGGGGCCAAGGCUUGCAGGAAAGUGUGGAAUGGUGGUGAAGGAAUGUAUUUAAGUUCCUAAAUCGGGUAUGUGAAAGGAACAAAAUGAGCAGUUCAUAAGCAGCAAGGUUUGUAAGAACCUUGUCCUACUGCGGCCAAAGAUUGAGACUUCAAAAUGAAUAGUGGAGGUGAGGACAUCUUGUUCCUCACCUGCUUAUUGUGUCUAUUGAUGAGUAGUUGAAAGGAUUAGUGUCAAGAUCUUGUUAACAAGUAGCAUUUUAAUGUGUAAGCAUCAGUUGUGCUAUUAGGGUUGUUCUCUAAAGGGUGGUUCUAAAUCUACAGAAGUAUCUGGAUGCUGUCAGGUGAAGGGAAUAGUUUAGCAGUGGAGAGCCAGUUGGGAGAGAUGGUUUUGAAACUGUUUGUACAGAAAGUUGCUAAAUUGAAGGCAGAGGGAAAGAAGAUUGCUAUGGCUGACUCCUUUUUAUUAACACCAGUGAUGGGAUGCAAUUUCAAGAUAAACUAAACUAGGGAAAUAAAUUAUCUGCUUUUGAAUGCAAUAAAUUGAUGAGUUUAUAGGCCAAGGGAUAGUAUGGCUGGUGCUAGCUGGUUACAUCAGUGUAGAAAAAUGGGGGCAAACCUGCUACGGACUGCUCUGAAAAGCAGGAGUUAAUCUGUUCAAGCAAAUACUGGGGACCUUAACUUCAGUUGGUCUUUUUGCCAUGGACAGACUUUUAUUUAAGUUCUUUGUGUAGAGAAGACAACUUUAGAGAGGCAAAGUCAGGUUUCUAUUGCUUGCAAUACUGAUAAAGCCCAAUUUUUUUGUCACCUAAGUACUGCUGUGUCUUAGUUUCAUGUGAUACAGUGAACAUUUUUGCCUCUCAACUAAAAGAUUUCAGUACUAAAUUUUCUAAAGGAAGCUUCUUUUUAAACAAAUAUUUACUACAGGUCUUCAAUUUUCUUGUCUACCCCAGUACAGUUACAACUGGUGUCAUAUAGCUGUGGUUGUACCUCUAAACAAUUAUAGUACUAGUAAACAGAACAGAAAGGAGCAUAACACUGUCCAUCUGCAUCUGAAGUUAGAUUAAGGUGGUGAAUAUAAUCCCCAAAGAUGUGACACCUUAAUUUCCCCAUUCUCAAAUACAGUGCAAAGAUAUUAAUGAUGAAAAUAAAUUAUUUUAAGGAAAAAUAAAUCAUCUGCUCUUCAUAACUGCCCUGCUGUCUAGACCUAGUAUGUUGAAGGUUUGUGGUGUUAAAGUUUUGGCCACCUGAAACUCCUUUUUAUACUGGUGAAAACCUGAAGUGCCUUGACUGUGUUUACCCUGCCAUGGGCGUUGAUUUGCAGCCCUGUUUAUGGAUAGUGCCUUGGUGGGUAGUGAGAGAGUUGAGUUGCUAUAGUACAACAGUACCUUUGUCCUUCAGUUUAGGGCAUUGUACCACUUGGCAGGGUUUCACUGGUUCAUAAUUACUAGGAUGUUUAGGCAAUUAUAUUAUACUAAGCUAACAGUUGUGUAUGGGCCCACCAGACAAUAGUUAGCAUACUUUUCAUAGCUGCAAAUAGAGAAUGAUUGAAAAUAAAAGACAUUGUACCUUUUCUGACAUGACUAGAAGUAAACACAUGAAGUGUGUCCCUUCCCCCUACCCCCUUGCCUGUAAGUGCCAUAGAUUCAGUACUAAAUUACUUAAUAAGUGAAGCUCUUAACUUAAUUACUGUUAUUACUUGUAAAUAAUGUCACUACAUUGAAUUUAAAACUACCAUUAUGGUCUUCUGUAGUGACAAUGAGCAUCUGUAAAAGCUUCACAAGCUUGUAGUAGCUUUCCUUUGUAUGUUGUAAGAACUGAGGGGAGAAUUACUUUAAAAGCAGUCUGCUCUUGGUUUAAAUUAAGUUGCAUAAUGUUGAAUCAGUAUUGCUUAUGAUGCUGUGGCUGCUGCUCCACAAUGUGUUUUCUACUAGAGCUCAGGCAAACCCCAGCAGAGAAUGACAAACUUAACUUGAUCUUUUAAUUAACUUACUUGUCCUCCAUCCCAUUAAAAAGUAGUGCAGAUGAAAAAGUUGAUUGCAUAUAAGAAUAGGAUUUUACACAGGAUCUGAUUAGUUUAGGUGGUUUUAAAGCUUUCAAGUGCUAGCAAGCUUUUGCUUUUCAAAAUAGCCAGGCACCUACUAGAUACUUGUGAACUCAGCUCAGCUGCUUUUAGUUUACUCAGACAUAUAUUCUCACUAAAAUGAGUUAUUACCAUCUGCUGCUGUUAAAAUAAGUGGCUCUUAAAAGAGAGACUUUACAGAGAACAAAGAACAGAGGAAGAACUUUACUUUCUAAAUCCUUGAGAGGGGUAAAUACUCUAAAAGCAGGUGUAAAAAAAACCUGUGCCUCUUCAUGUGCUGAUGCAGAUGUCAAAGGUCAGAGGUGGUCCUUCCUGGACCUAGCAAUGGCUUUAUGCUGGUGUGUUCAAUGAAUUCCUCUUUAAUUUGAACAGGUAGAGCAGGGUUUGAUCAGCAUGCUCUGCUGCAGACCUAAUCUGUUUCAAAGUUUAAUGUACUAACUUCUCUCAGUGGGAGCUGUGAAGCACCUCAUGCUGGAAAGACUUUAUGCCUCUGGAAAGCAGAAAUUCCUCAAAGCUGAGUCAGGAACAUCUUCCCCUUGUCCAAAUGGUCUGUGUGCAGCUUUUGGCACCCAAGCUGCAGCUGGCUGACCUGUCCUCUAACCAACUACUUCUUGUUCCCAAAGCAGUGUCUUAUUAAGGCUUGGUCUGAUGAGACUCUUCUUAGCACUGUCAGCAAGUCGCAGCUGACUGAUUCGUAACCUGCUUGGUUGGCUCUGCCAGGCUGUCUAGUAAUAUUUGAUUGGGGGUGGGGGGAAUAAAAACCCAACCCUUGUUCACAGUUUACCUAUGUACCCAGCUCUGACAGAGCAAGUAAGCAUGGUAAUGCAUAAUCCCUGUCCUUCACCAGGUGGAUUAUAUCUGCACCUAGAGGAUCAGGUAAUGUCAGCCUUCGGUGCUGCAGAAAUGUGUUGAAUGCCUGUGGGAACCCAAGUUGCAAUUAGUGGUAAUUUGUCGGUAAGAGGAAAGGGCCGUUCUCAAUACAGGCUGCUAAAGAAAAGCUUCAACAUUUAAUGCAACUGCAGUUACCAGAACCAGAAGAGUGUAUGUACUGUGACUGGCAAAGCUGAGUCCACUGGAGCACCGUGCAGUUUACCAGGAAAUAAGAAUAUUAUGGGUUGCUUCACACUGUGUGCAGUUAGUGCCAAAGGGAAUAAGGUUAGGGUAAUGAUGUCUGUGACAAAAGGAAGGAGGUUAAUUAUUAAAAAAAAUCUUAUUAAAUGAAGGAAAAUGCUGUACACCUCUGUGCAAUUAAAGUUGGAAAAUGCCCUUUAUGCAUAAGCUGGGUUCUAACUGAAGGCUAAAGCUGCUGUUAACUAAAUCAAUAGAGCAGCUCAGAGUGGUGCCUGGCUUUUAGCGGGUGAAUAGGCACUGCCUUGGGACAGUCCUGCAGCAGCUGGUAAAUGCAUGUUUGAUCCAAUUCCCUUGGUGGUAAAGGAGAACUGACUUCAUCUUUUCAUUGCUAUGUAUCAGUCUCUUUUCAGCAUGGAUAUAAUCAAUUUUCUCCAGGAGAGAAGGAAUGUCUAGCAAUGGUGACAUUGCUAAAAGAGAUCGUGUAAACAUCCUCUCUCUUUAUUAAUUACCUAAGCAACCUCCUGUUUGUCCUGGAACAUGCACUACGACGAGGUGCUCUUUUGCUAUUUUGAUGAAGAAGCACGAGGGGCUGUGGCUAUUCUUUGAUAUUCCUCACCUAGACCUUCUGGCUGAUCACUGCAGAAUUAUCACAUCAUCAUACAAAUGAUCAAUGCUUUGAAUCCAAGAGGGAAUCAAAUAUAAAAGAAAACUGCAUAUGCACAAUUUCAGAAUUUUAAAUGGGAGCGGCUGCUAAAAGACUCAUAGGAAAAUCCUGCUAUAUACUGAGAUUGUUUUAAAGAAUUAUGGGAAAUGACAACAGCAGAACUAAAGUUCGAUUUUUCACAGAUGAAACUACAAAAAGCAUGGAGCAAUGUAAUCCGGUCAGACAAGUGGCCUGCACCAUCAAAGUCCUGUAAAGCAUCAUGUACAGCUGUGACCAUUUUUCUCCUUCCAACAUGGACUUGUGUGAUACAGCAGGCUGGGGGGGGCCCAGACACCAUGCGCUGAAGAGCUUCAAUCAAAGAUGGAAAGAGGAGGAAGAAAGUGCUCCCUCUGAGAUACUUGUGCUGGGCGAUACUGGCCUUCGCAAAACAACCUCGGAAACCUGAACUCUGGUUGCUUCUCAGAUAAGUAGUAUAGCACUUGUUGUGCAACACAGGGUAAGGCGACAUUUUGAAAUACAGUCUUUUUAAAUUAUACAUGCUGGAAGUGGCAGUUUCAGGGAACCAUUGCAUCUAACACAGCCACAUCAGUGGAGAAGAAGGAGCUCUGUAGCAGGACCUGUUUUUCUCUGAUCUAAACUGUCUAUGACCGUUAGCAGUGAUAGGAAAUCUACUGUGGUUAGCUGUAGUAGGAAAGCACUAGAUCAAAGCUUUAAGAUCACCAGUUCCAUGUUGCACUUUGUCCUGCAUUUAAAGGAAAUUAAAAAGCUGCCUUAGAUACUCAUAUGCAUACAAAUGGGGGGUUUGUAAGCAUGAAGGAUCCCCAUGAAAUUAGAAGGAAUGGCUCAACACUACUGUGUAACCUUUUUUUGUUGGUAUCUGUUUUAUAUCUAACCUUUGUGAUACUGUCUGUGUAAAAAUUUAAAUUGAAAAGUAGGAAGUUUAGGAGCUCACUACUGGAAAUGUGGGCUGAGCUUCAAUCAAUGCCUAGCUUCAAUCAACCUGCUCAGUGCAGGUUUUGUGUAAGAAAGAAUACAGUCCUUUCAUAUGAGUAAGAGAAAUUGAAUUAGCUCCUUCUAAGCGCUUUGAGCCUCCAUGUAUUUUACAUUGAAAAUGUUCAAGGAAAUCAGUGAGGAUUUUCAGCACCAGAGGAACGCAAGGUUAAGUCCAAACUCUACCUGUUACCAACUAGAUAACAUCAGAAUGAAUGUGUACAAUGUUAAAUUGCAUCCAAAUAUCACAUUUAAUUCCCAGUUUUUACACCUUACUGCAUAUGGUGCUUGCAGCUCUGAAUAAUAUUGUUAUUUAGUUAGAUUUAUAUACGCAGUAAAAGGGAGAGUAACUGCAGUUGUACUGCUGUCAGCUACAGAACAUGGCACAAAUUGUAGGAAAUCACAGUGUGGGCUCUACACAGAGCUAAGCCAUUCUGUAAAAUACUCUGACUAAUUCUGCAAAACACUGCAGGAUCCAACUCUCUGAACCUCAUUCAAACAGAUUUCUCACUCCUUCUGGGAGUGCAAUGUGUGCGUAUGUGCUUGUGCGUGUGUGAAUGAGGGUCAGGGUGUUUGAGUAGGAAGAGGAGUCACAGAUAUGUUGAAUCUCAAACUAUAAAUUGGAAUCUUAAUGGGUAAUCAGCAGGUUCUCGUCUCUUAUGACCCAGCUAAGACACAGGUACUGUACUUAGUGGUUUGCACAUUUUAAGAAACUGAUGAUGACAACCUUCAGAAAAUGGCAAACUGCUCAGAAACAGUAGCAGACUUUGAAACAGCUGCAGAAAUCCCAAGAGGUCCUUUCUUUAUGUGGAGCACUCCAAAGAAACUGUUUUGUCAUACCAGCUUUCUCUCCAGCAUAGCUUAGUUUAUUACUCUUAAAAGUUAAAAAAAAAUAAAAGAGAGAAAAUAGAAUAGGACAAAGAUGAGAAACAAGAAAUACUGAUGUAUACCAUAAUAAAAAUGCAGUCCAAUCUUCCUCCACUUACUGUAGUUUGCAAAUUAUUCCUGAGUUGUACAUAGCAUGAAUAAGUAAGGCCAGACCUUUAGCUGAAGGAACUCUGUAUCCCUCCGUCAGUUCCAACAGAUGUGCUGAUUUACACCUGCUGACACUGGAGCUACAGGAGUUGGUGCUGACAUUCUUGGACUGUUUUGAUUUAAAUAUUUAGUUCAAACAUAUUUUUGAAGAAGCUGAAAAAGUUGGGAUGUUGUUUGGGUAACUGCAGGUAUACCCACAUCAUGCUAUCCUUAUAAUUGUUAUUGAAACGGUGCCUACAGCAGUUACAGGCACUAUUUCAGUUAGGAAAAUGGUAAGAUCUAAAUUAAGAUGGGCAUAGAAACAUUGCUUCAUGGUGCGUGAUGUUCCUAAGACAUUGCCUCAUACAAUCUCUCCACACAGGCCUAGAGGUGGUGAUUACUGGAUGGGGAGGGCAGUCAGGGGCAUCAGCCCUGAGACAGCAAUGCCUCAGACCUCCUCCCCUGCCUUCUCACUGGGAGUGGUGGUCUCCCAGACCCCAUGGCACCGAUGGUGUACUCAACGCCCCUGUGCCAGCCUUACAAACAUCCCCCUCUCUUUGCUAUGUGAACUGCAGGCUGAUGGACUGCAAAGAACUGAGGAGGUCGGUGGGACCAGGAGACUGAUGGACUGCAAAGAACUGAGGAGGUUGGUGGGACCAUGAGGCUUAUGGACUGUGAAGAACUGAGGAGGAGGAAGACCAAGGUCGGGACGCUAUGGGUAGAAAGAAGAUUAUUGAUCGGAUGUUUCUCUCUCUUUCCCAAAUUGCUGCUUUGUCAGAGCAAAAUGUAGAAGGAGUUCAAAAAAUGCUGGAAGAAAUUCUGAAUUUUAAACAAUUAAAGAUGUCUUUGAGAGAAGCUGUUUUGCUAGAUUAUUAUACUGCGGGAUUUUGCUGGGCUAAAGGAAUGAACUUCAGUCUUAUUCAGCUUUCAGGCUUCAUGGAUCUAUUAAAUUUCCUAUUGGAGAACCUCCGUGACAAACAUAUGACCCUAGGAGAUAAUUUAAAAGAACUUGGAAAAGCAAUGGCUGGGAUAGGCGAAACUGAUUUAGAAAGAGGUGGUGACUUGAAUUUCUUCAGCAUCGAGCAAGCCAAAGCAAUCAUUGAUUACUUGACUAUCAGCUUAUUUAAGGACUAUAAAGUAUAUGAAUACCUCUUCCACAGUGAUAGUGAAGAACUUGUGAUAAGUAAUGAGUAUGUGACUGAACUUGCCCAACUUGCAGUUCCCUCCUUCCCUGCUUUGCUGGAAGAAGGCACACCUUCAGAUACCUGUUCGUCACUCAUAAUAUCACCAACAGCUGCAGAGACUGAAUCUAAGGGGUCUGAUCAAAACGGUUACGUGGAAGAGCCCUGUCCAGAGCCAGAGUCCUUCGAAGCAGAUGCUGUGGGUGCUGUCACUGCUAAAGAUCAGAUGUCUGCAGUGGAUGAAAUCCCAAAUGAAAUUAUUGGCAACCUUGAGGAUGAAAGCAUCCUAUGGCCAAACACAGGAUGGAUGUUGGGAAUGAAGACAAGUGAAAUGGAAAUUCCCAGAGCUAAGGAGAAAAGGGAACUCAAACAGAAGUGGAAGGUCGGAGCUGAUCCCUAUGCCUCAGUGAAGACACAGGCUGAACCUCACAGGGGAAUUUUCACAGCCACACCAGACUGUGUGGAGGUUACUCACAGGAGGAAUGCGAUUCGUGGCCUCUCUAGGCCAUGUCGACACCUCUUGACAAACAUGAGUCGAUGCCAUGGGAUUAAUAUUCACUUUGGGGGCCUCUGAAAAUCUGAGGAAAAAUCUUGAAAUCUUUUUCCUUAGAAUUCCAGUGGUGGUAAUGGAGAGUUUUAAAUCCAGAAGGAUUCAGACAAGGGGAUUCAACACCUGGUUUGUGUAGGAAAAAGACAUUAUGAAACGCGGACCUUUGUAGCCAGGACAUAGCCCUGGGUGAUAAGCCCUGCAGAUCAGCAGAAAUUAUGAACCAUAAAAGCUUGUGUAUGGGUUCAGAGCCUUGAUUUGAAUUUUUUGGGCUUGUUUGUAUUUCAAAAGCAAAGCCACUGAAUUACAUCUUGAAAACAAUAUUCCAGCACAGGUUUCCUCAAAACACAGCCCAGGUUUGAUCAAAAGGUUCUCGAGUUUGCAAACCCUUUGACAACCCUGAUGCGUGUUUACACUUUCAAAGUAAACCCCAAACCAAGUGCAUUUGCAUGGACUAGCAUCUUGCUAUAGAGCUUGAUAUUUAUUUUCACCCCAGUUCUUGCCAAAAUCCCAUCCGUGCCCUGAGACUAGGCUUUCAAGGCUGGCAUUCUAAUAUUUUUAUCGACAAACAUGCCAGCAGGCACAAAAAAUAAAUAUCUACACCCAAACAAAAUAUUUAGCUGUAUUUGUAAAACCCCAAAUAAAAAGCAAUUUUGUAUUUUGGUUUAAUCUAAUAUCCAUUCAUGUGGAUCAGACUGCACAGUGUUUGCUUGUCCAAACCACUAAGAUAAUCCUUACUGCCUAUAGAAAUACAUUUUAAUUACAGAGCAAUAAAUAUUGUGUCUUUUUUUUGCUGCGCGCAUUUUUUUUUAUCAGCAGACAAAAGCUGACAUUUAUUUUACUGAUAGCCCUAUAUUUCCCCUCCCGCUACCACCGCAGCAGAAUUUCCCUCGCCCAAGGAAAUUGAGAGGAUCAGAGCACAUCUGAUGUUCCAUUAAUUUAAAACGGCUGCCAGGACUUGCAUAUUGUAGCAGCUUUAAAGUGAUUGAAUUUGGAUUAUUUCAAACUCUGGAAAGUCCUGCCUUGCCUGACAGAGGCGUAUCGAGUGACAAAAUAAAAUACAGCCACGGUACAAGAGUGCCGGCGUGUCCAUCCAUACAUAUUCUCCUCCUGGCGCGUACAGCCUUGCAACAGGCGGAUUAAAAGCAAUGGAAAGAAGAAUCUUAAUUUUUGUUAUUUUUGGGAACAGACCCCUUUUUGAGGCUGUAGCCCAGCGAGGUGGAGACACCUGGUGUUUGCUGUGGCAAAUUCACUGCAGACACGGGCAGGGGGAGAGGAGAGCAGGGUGAGGGGCUCAGCCCCAGGCUGCUGCCUUCCUCCUCCUCCUCCUCCUCUUCCUAAGGCACCAGGGCCCCUCACACAACAGGGCUGUGUGUGUUGUGGGGGGAUCUUCACCCUGUCAGCUGCUAAAUUAAAGCGCUAACUUUCGGGUAAUAACUAUUUCAUAAUGCUUAGAGAACAGCUCAUGUAACGUAGUUCCAAAAGGAGAAAAAAAAAGAAAAAGUUUACGCUCGGCCAAAGGAAUAUUAAAGUUUCACUACAAAAGAAAUAUUGUGGCUGCCAAGGCCUGAUUACUCAUGAAAUCCACGGCAUUAUCAUCAUCCAUCACUGCCAUUCUUUUAAUGACCAAACGAAAAAGAGAGGCAUCAAAGUUGGAGUGGUGUCGUCGUCCUUUUUCGAGAGCAAAGCUCCCUAAAUAUAGGAUGAAUACUAGAGCUCGACAUAUUUUUUUACCAAAAAAAUUGAAAAAUCCUUUGAAUGAAUCACAAAACAUAUGUUAUGUUUUGCUGUAAAAGCCAUGAAGUUUAUGCAGUGCUCUAUCAUGGUGACUGCUUGGCUUUUCAUGCAUUCCUAAAUUACCAUGUAAUCUAAAACCUUGUUUUCAGCUGCUCUAUAUUGGAAAGUCCCUUGCAAUAAUCAGGAUGAUUACAGGCUAGUGUGGAGAACAAAACUUGUUUGUAUUAUUGCUAAUAAAAAUGCAGUUUAUCAGAAAUUUUACCUUUUCAAGGGAAAAAUAAAAAUAAUAAUAAUAAACUCGCUCUCCUCCCUUGCUGGAAAUAUUCUAAGCAUGGAAUUAAUUUUGGCCGCUCUAUGACUUAAGAACACAUGGAUACUUGGUGUAAAAAUAUGUUUCUUUCCUGUAGGGACUUGACUCUAAUUGGUGUGCCAAAACCAUCUCACAGAGAUUUCAUUGUCUUAUCUACUUACAUCAUCUUAAUGCGAUUUUAUUUUACUCUGUCAAAGUCAUAUUAAUGUAAAUGUGUUCUUGAUAGCAAACAGAGUUCUUUUUUAUGCUAAACGGGAUUCAGCUGACUCUAAUAAAACAGCUUGCAAUCCAUUAGGCUAUAACUGUAAUAUAGUUAUUUUGUUUCCCAAAUAAAG